CCGUAAGGCGCCGAAUGAGUCAUUAAAAAAUUAACAUCAUCCGAUCCCUAGUCGGCAUAGUUUAUGGUUAAGACUACGACGGUAUCUGAUCGUCUUCGAUCCCCCUAACUUUCGUUCUUGAUUAAUGAAAACAUCCUUGGCAAAUGCUUUCGCAGUAGUUAGUCUUCAAUAAAUCCAAGAAUUUCACCUCUGACAAUUGAAUACUAAUGCCCCCAAUAUCCCUAUUAAUCAUUACGUCGAUCCCUAGAAACCAACAAAAUAGAAUCAAACGUCCUAUUUCAUUAUUCCACGCUAAUGUAUUCAAGCGCGAGCCUGCUUUAAACACUCUAAUUUUUCAAAGUAACGGUCCUGAUUCCCCAUGACACCAAAUUAAUGACAUCAUGGUUCUUCAGAAGGGAGAAAUCAAAAUUGCCAGUACGUACCGAGGCACGACCAACAAAUUGAUCUCGAAAUUCAACUACGGANCUUUUUAACUGCAACAACUUUAAUAUACGCUAUUGGAGCUGGAAUUACCGCGGCU
rnacentral:rRNA from 1 species